UGUGAUAUACAUGAAAGGAGGUUUCAGAAGUUUGAUGGUGCUCUCGGGAGGGCUGCAUUUCCAUUUCCAUUUCCAUUUCCAUCAGGUAAGGUUUUCUUUCGUCUUCAAGUUUGUUUCCGGUGCAAUAGCGGGAUGAACAACGGCGACCAUUUCAAUCGGUACGGGAAGUGCAGACUACCAUAGGCGCCUGUUUCAUUUCUCCUCCACGACGAUUUAUGGUUCUUUUGAAGGUUUUGGAGGUUCUGGUGCAAUAGUGGAUCAGAUGGGGAAGGGUAAUAGCAAUGCUGCGGACGACCAUGCCCAUGGAUAUGCAGUUUUCUUGAAUCAAGAUUUGAUUCGAGAGUUGUGAUUCGCGAAUGCUAAUCGAGAGUACCAAUCCACAGGUAGUAGACGUUUACAUAGGAUAGGAUAUUCGCUUUGAUUGACUGACUGUUUACAGAUUUUCAAUUUCACAUUGCAGAGUCUUCGUAUACACAUAAACUUGAUUUGGUGCUUCACUUUGAUUUUUUCCUUUGAUAUACGGGGAUUUUCCAUGAAAAUUUAGGGGUUUGAGGAAUUUGGGAAUUUUGGUUUAGGAGGAGGAAUAAAAUUUCAUUGUCUCAAAAAAUCCUUCUCUCACUCGUUUCUUUUUUAUCUUCAAAUUAUUGAUGGUUUGGUUCGGGUUUUUGUUUGAGUUUGGCUGUGGCUAUUUAUUGAUGAUCUAGUUCUUGUUUUGGUUUCUAGGUCUAGGUCUAGUUUGGGUUUGGUUCAGGAGUCGACUCUAACUCAGGUGAUUCUGAGUUGGGUUUGGGUUCAAGUUCAGGUUCGGGUUCGGUUCCGGCUCUGACUCUAACUUAGGUGAUUCUGGGUUGUGUUUGGUUUAGUUCCGGCUCUAACUUGUGCUUGGAUUUGAUUUAGCUCUAGCAUUGGUGCAGUUCUUGUAUGGAUUGGGUUCUAGUUCGUGUUUGGUUCUGACUUUGACUAUGGCUCGGGUGAUUCCGAGUCAAGUUCAUGUUAGUUCUAGCUCUAGCUUGAGCUUGGAUCUGGUUCGGCUCUAGUCUUUGGUGCAGUCCAUGUAUGAGUCAGGUUCUAGCUCGUGUUUAGUUUUGGCUUUGGUCAUGGCUUGAGUGAUUCCGGGUCAGGUUCAAGUUAGUUCCUACUCUAGCAUGGUCCUGGUUCAGGUUCAACUUUGGCUCAGGUGAUUCUGGGUUAGAUUUGAAUCUAGUUUGGUUUUGGUUCUCUAACUCUGCCUUUGGGUUAGGUGGUUCUGAGUCAAAUCCCGGUCUCGAACUCUGUAUAAUCUGGUCCAAUCCUCACCUUUGAUUUUGGCUUAAAAUCCAGCCAAGAUCUAGAUCUAGCUCUUCUUCAUGUUCUAGUUCUAGUUCUAGUUCGUGUCCAUCUUUGCUCUUGUGCAGUUUUUGUUGGGGCCGGUGUCUGACUCUAGCUCUAGCACAGGUGGUUCUCGGUCAGGUUUGAGUUCUGUUCCGGCUUUAGCUCUUGUUUGAUUGGGUUGGAGUCUUGUUCAUAUUAUGGUUCUUCUAGUCUUGCAUUUUUGGUGUGGUUCUUGUUUGGUUUGGGUUUUGAUCUUGUCUGGCUCUAACUCAGGUUGUUCUUUGACAGGUUUAGGCCGGGUUCAUGUUCCUAUUUUGGUUUGGCUCCACUCCUGUUGAUUACAUUGUUUAAUUUUCUAGUUUGUUCUUUUUAGUUUAAAUACUCUCUGUUCAUUGUUCUGUGUUUGUGAUUGAAUUAAAAAAAAAAAAAAAAAAAAAAUUGUAUAAACCUAAACUAGAUUGAUUUUCAUGAAAUUUCUAUCUACAUGCGAGACUAUAUCUUUCAACUUGGUUCACUUUCCAAAUAAUGUUUUCAAGCUCUUUUGACCUAUUUUUCAAUCAAAUAAUCAAAUUAUAUUGCUAUUUUUUGCAUUACAAUCUGAGCUAAACGGCGAGGCAUAAAAAGAUUUGAGUUGACCAUCAUAAGAAAAUUGGCCCAGAUCUUGGCGGGGAAAUCAUGAAGGCAUGCCAUAUGAUGUGCAACAUGAGAUCUUGCAGCCUUGGUGUGACCGAUUAGUGUGUUGUCAUUCAAUGCAUUUCAAUUAGCAAUUGGUCCGUAUCUUGGCGAGGCAAUCAUGAAGGCAUGUCAUAUGAUUUGCAACAUGAGAUCUUGCAGCCAUGGCGUGGCCGAUUAGUGCAUUGUCCUUCAAUUCAUUUCAAUUUAUUGAGUGACAAGUGUACAUAUUCUAAAUUUUCAUCAAGCUUAAUAAAAGAUAAGAUAAAAUAUUAUAUAUAUUUUUUUGUACAUAUACAUAACUUCUCGUUAGCAACCAACUUACAACUUGUGCUAAAAAUAUAAAUGCUUUGCUUUGUUUAGUUGAUAUUUGGGCAGGAAGGUUGGUGAUGCUAUAAAACUUGAAAGCCUAAUGUUCUAUGUCUUUUUUCAUAAUGCUCUGAUCCAUAUAUCUAUUUGAGAGGAGAAAGUUGGGCCAUUCUUGGUAUUUAAACUUUUGGUGCCAACUGGGAGCAAGCUAAUAGUACUUUUGAAACCUUAAUUUUACAACAAUAACCUAUGAUAAAUAUUGCUUUUACUGAUUUUUAUUUUUUAUUUUUUCUCGUCAAGUGGUUGCAAAUUCAAUUGCCCACGAUUUCGUUUGUUUUCUGGAAGAUGGAUGGGUUACAGUAACGAACGAUUUCUUGUCACCUGAAUAAUUCCUUCUCUAAAAGUAAUGACAGAACUCUGUGAGUAGUGCACUCCCUAACUUUCAACUUCAGUUAAUGUUGUGGACUGCUAAUGGUGGUCCUUGUUCUAGGCAGGGUGUAUUUGGUAAGGUAGUGAGUAUGAAUCUGGAUAGGUAAAACAUUACUAUUUUUGAAUAUUUCACUAGUGUUGAUGAGAGGGUGUAUUUGGCAAGUUAGUGAAUAUGAAUCCGGGUGGGUAAAUCAUUACUAAAUUUGAAUAUUACACUAAUGUUGAUGAGAUUUUUGAAAACAGUAAAGUUAAACAAGGAAAACCUGCAUCUACUUGUGAAGAAUUGGUAAGAGAUGAAGCAAAUGAAAAUGGAAUUCUGAUUUUGGGGAACCACACCGAUCAAAUCAGUGAAAGAGGGAGGUUCCAGAAGUUUGGUGCUCUCGGGAGGGCUGCAUUUCCAUUUCCAUUUCCAUUUCCAUUUCCAUCAGGCAAGGUUUUCUUUCGUCUUCAAGUUUGUUUCCGGUGCAAUAGCGGGAUGAACAACGGCGACCGUUUCAAUCGUGCAGACUACCAUAGGAGCAUGUCUCAUUUCUCCUCCACGACGGUUUAGGGUUCUUUUGAAUAGUGGAUCAGAUGGGGGAAUAGCAAUGCUGCGGACGACCAUGCCCAUCGAUGUGUAAGUUUCUUGAAUCAAGGGUUUGAUUCGAGAGUUGUGAUUUGCGAAUGCUAAUCGAGAAUACCAAUCCACAGGUGAUUCUGGUUUUGGCUUCAGUCAAGCUCGGGCUAGUUCAUGUUUUGGUUUCUAGGUCUAGCUCUUGUCGGGAGUUCUAGCUGGGGAUCGGUUAUGACUCUUACCCUGGCUCAGGUGAUUCUGAGUUGGGUUUGGGUUCAAGUUCAGUGUUCUAAUGACGAAAGAUUCUGCCAUUUCAACAAUUCCUGCUCUGGGAGCAAUAUGACAGUGUGCUGUGAGAAAUGGGAUUUCUAACUUCAACGUCAAAAGUAUUACAGGGAUUUCACGAGCAAAUUGAUGUUCUUUGACCGUGAUUGCCAAAUCUUGCUGGAACUGAAUUUUUGCUAGUAAUGUCUAAGGGGGGUUACAGUAAUAUGACACAACUCUGUGAGGAGUAGCGCACUCUCUAACUUUCAACUUCAGUUGAUGUUGUGGACUGCUAUUGGUGGUCCUUGUUCUAGGCAUGGUGUAUUUGGUAAGGUAGUGAGUAUGAAUCUGGGUGGGUAAAACAUUACUAAUUUUGAAUAUUUUACUAAUGUUGAUGAGAGGGUGUAUUUGGCAAGGUGGUGAGUAUGAAACCGGGUGGGUAAAACAUUACUAAAUUUGAAUAUUUCACUAAUGUUGAUGAGAUUUUUGAAAACAGUAAGGUUGGUUGGUUAACCAAGGAAAAUUCUGCGUCUACUUGUGAAGAAUUGGUAAGAGAUGAAGCAAAUGAAAAUGGAAUUCUGAUUCUGGGGAACCACACCGAUCAAAUCAGUGAAUUUAGCUGACCUUGAGGGCAAUUUUUUUAAUUUUAUUUUUAUUAUUAUUCUCAUUAAUUUUUAAUUCUUCAAUUAAUCCUCUCAUUUGCAUACACCUUGACCUCGACCUUAAGAGUAAUAUUUCUUAUCCCACCUUCAAUUUUUGGUUUCUCAUGCUUUCUUUGCCUUGUUUGUGUGUAUAUGAUUAAUUGACUUUGUUAUUAAUGCGUGUAUAUUUUUUUGUUUCAUAAUUUUCUUUUCUCUGUCUUUAUAAUGCUUUUAUAACAAUGUUCCCAAGUAAGAUGCAUUCAAUUGAUUUUCUUUUUCUUUUUUCUUUUAUUUAUUGUGCACUU